AAACCAGCACCUCAAGUGGUCAGGAUGAUUAUUGGGCCUAAAGCAUCCGUAGCCUGCUUUAUCAGUUUUCGGUUAAAUCUGUACGCUUAACGUACAGGCUGCCGGGAAUACUGCAGAGCUAGGGAGUGGGAGAGGUAGACGGUACUCGGGAGGAAGUGGUAAAAUGCUUUGAUCUCUCGAUGACCACCUGUGGCGAAGGCGGUCUACCAGAACACGUCCGACGGUGAGGGAUGAAAGCUGGGGGAGCAAACCGGAUUAGAAACCCCAGUAGUCC
rnacentral:rRNA from 1 species